rnacentral:rRNA from 1 species
CUACGUGCCAGCAGCCGCGGUAAUACGGAAGGUCCAGGCGUUAUCCGGAUUUAUUGGGUUUAAAGGGAGUGUAGGCGGUUUGUUAAGCGUGUUGUGAAAUUUAGAUGCUCAACAUUUAACUUGCAGCGCGAACUGUCAGACUUGAGUACACGCAACGUAUGCGGAAUUCAUGGUGUAGCGGUGAAAUGCUUAGAUAUCAUGAAGAACUCCGAUUGCGAAGGCAGCAUACGGGAGUGUAACUGACGCUUAAGCUCGAAGGUGCGGGUAUCAAACAGGAUUAGAUACCCUGGUAGUCCGCACAGUAAACGAUGGAUGCCCGCUGUUGGUACCUGGUAUCAGCGGCUAAGCGAAAGCAUUAAGCAUCCCACCUGGGGAGUACGCCGGCAACGGUGAAACUCAAAGGAAUUGACGGGGGCCCGCACAAGCGGAGGAACAUGUGGUUUAAUUCGAUGAUACGCGAGGAACCUUACCCGGGCU